rnacentral:lncRNA from 1 species
AUCAGAACUGCAACAGUCCGCGGAUCAAGCUUUCCAACCAUCUGCCUCUUCCCAACGCUCGAAUCAAAUCUUCUACGCGUCGCCCGCUGCCGUGGAACAGAAGCCGUUCCUCCAUCCUCAUCUUUUCACUCGGGAAGCUUAUCCUUCGGAUGCUAACAGAGGAUAGGGAAGCUAUAAAAGGAAGGGAGUUCUCUUCUCUAGGAUUCAUUCUUCUCUUUUGUUCCAUUUUUCUUCCCCC